CCUACGGGUGGCUGCAGUGGGGAAUAUUGGACAAUGGGCGAAAGCCUGAUCCAGCCAUGCCGCGUGUGUGAAGAAGGCCUUCGGGUUGUAAAGCACUUUCAGUGGGGAAGAAAGCCUUGGGGCUAAUACCCUCGAGGAAGGACAUCACCCACAGAAGAAGCACCGGCUAACUCCGUGCCAGCAGCCGCGGUAAUACGGAGGGUGCGAGCGUUAAUCGGAAUUACUGGGCGUAAAGCGCGCGUAGGCGGUCUGAUAAGCCGGUUGUGAAAGCCCCGGGCUCAACCUGGGAACGGCAUCCGGAACUGUCAGGCUAGAGUGCAGGAGAGGAAGGUAGAAUUCGCGGUGUAGCGGUGAAAUGCGUAGAGAUCGGGAGGAAUACCAGUGGCGAAGGCGGCCUUCUGGACUGACACUGACGCUGAGGUGCGAAAGCGUGGGUAGCAAACAGGAUUAGAUACCCUGGUAGUC
rnacentral:rRNA from 1 species